UGAUGCUCCAUCACAAAUUGCACAGGCACUAAUUCCUCUGCUCCAAAAUUCAUCUUCACGGGGUAAUCCCAACCUUCUUGCAUUGGCUCCAGUAGCCACAAUAAUGCUAUGACACUUUACCUUACGUUCACUACUGUGGACAGUAAAGGGAGCAUUCUUUACAUCAAUAAAUUCCACAUCUUCCUGAUACAAUUCAGCUCCCCAUCUCUCAGCUUGUCGCCUCAUCCUAUCCAUUAAGUCAGGUCCAGUUAUCCCCUCAGGAAAUCCAGGAAA
rnacentral:misc_RNA from 1 species